UCUAGCUCCCUACAGUUCAUGUCUGGUUUCCCACUGAAGCUAAGCAGGAUUGAGCCUGAUGAGUACCUGGAUGGGAGACUUCCUGAGGAAAACUAAGGUUGCUGCUGGAA
rnacentral:rRNA from 1 species